rnacentral:rRNA from 1 species
AACGAACGCUGGCAGCAUGCCUAACACAUGCAAGUCGAACGAGACCUUCGGGUCUAGUGGCGCACGGGUGCGUAACGCGUGGGAACCUGCCCUUAGGUUCGGAAUAACUCCCCGAAAGGGGUGCUAAUACCGGAUAAUGUCUUCGGACCAAAGAUUUAUCGCCUUUGGAUGGGCCCGCGUUGGAUUAGCUAGUUGGUAGGGUAAAAGCCUACCAAGGCGACGAUCCAUAGCUGGUCUGAGAGGAUGAUCAGCCACACUGGGACUGAGACACGGCCCAGACUCCUACGGGAGGCAGCAGUGGGGAAUAUUGGACAAUGGGCGAAAGCCUGAUCCAGCAAUGCCGCGUGAGUGAUGAAGGCCUUAGGGAUGUAAAGCUCUUUUACCCGGGAUGAUAAUGACAGUACCGGGAGAAUAAGCUCCGGCUAACUCCGUG